UACGAGGGGUGCAAGCGUUGCUCGGAAUUAUUGGGCGUAAAGGGUAGGUAGGUGGUCUGAUUUGUCAGGGGUGAAAGCCUUGGGCUUAACCCAAGAAGUGCCCCUGAAACGGUCAGACUGGAGUCUUGGAGAGGGUCGUGGAAUUCCCGGUGUAGCGGUGAAAUGCGUAGAGAUCGGGAGGAACACCAGAGGCGAAGGCGGCGACCUGGACAAGUACUGACACUCAACUACGAAAGCGUGGGUAGCAAACAGG
rnacentral:rRNA from 1 species